UACGUAGGGUCCGAGCGUUGUCCGGAAUUAUUGGGCGUAAAGGGCUCGUAGGCGGUCUGUUGCGUCGGGAGUGAAAACUUACAGCUUAACUGUGAGCGUGCUUUCGAUACGGGCAGACUUGAGGCAUUCAGGGGAGAACGGAAUUCCUGGUGUAGCGGUGAAAUGCGCAGAUAUCAGGAGGAACACCGGUGGCGAAGGCGGGUCUCUGGGCCGAUACUGACGCUGGAGGAGCGAAAGCGUGGGGAGCGAACAGG
rnacentral:rRNA from 1 species